UACGUAGGGGGCAAGCGUUGUCCGGAUUUACUGGGCGUAAAGAGCGCGUAGGCGGAAAUUUAAGCGUGGCCUGAAAGCCCCCGGCUCAACCGGGGAGUGCGGCUGCGAACUGGGUUUCUUGAGGACGAUAGAGGAGAGUGGAAUUCCUGGUGUAGCGGUGAAAUGCGCAGAUAUCAGGAGGAACACCAAUUGCGAAGGCAGCUCGCUGGGACGUUACUGACGCUGAGACGCGAAAGCGUGGGGAGCAAACAGG
rnacentral:rRNA from 1 species